rnacentral:rRNA from 1 species
GGUCAAGCUACUAAGAGCGUGUGUGGGGAUGCCUUGGCGCAAGCAGGCGAUGAAGGACGUGGUCAGCUACGAUAUGCCUCGGGGAGUUGCUAACAAGCUGUGAUCCGGGGAUUUCCGAAUGGGGAAACCCAGCCGGCGUGAACGCCGGCUACCGUCAUCUCAAUCAAUAGGGUGGCGGAGCGAACCCGGGGAAGUGAACCAUCUCAGUACCCGGAGGAAGAGAAAACAACCGUGAUUCCGAAAGUAGUGGCGAGCGAAAUCGGAACAGCCCAAACCAGGCGAUUCGAAAGGAGAGCAUGGUGUUGUAGGGCCGCAAAAUCAGGUGUCCGGUGGGUUAUCCCAACGGAGACCUGGUUAACGAGGGAAUCAAAGAGGUUAAUCGAACGGUCUGGAAAGGCCGGCCAUAGAAGGUGACAGCCCUGUAGAUGAAAAUGUCUUUGUACCUUCAAGCGGUUCCUGAGUACCGCGGGACACGUGGAACCCUGUGGGAAUCUGCCGGGACCAUCCGGCAAGGCUAAAUACUCGCUUGCGACCGAUAGUGAACCAGUACCGUGAGGGAAAGGUGAAAAGUACCCCUGCGAGGGGAGUGAAAUAGUACCUGAAACCGCACGCUUACAAGCAGUCGAAGGGCUAUGCCGCAAGGACAUGCCUGACGUCGUGCCUAUUGCAUAAUGAGCUGGCUAGUUAUUCUCAGUGGCAAGGUUAAGCGAAAGCGAGCCGUAGCGAAAGCGAGUCUGAAUAGGGCGAUUCAGUCGCUGGGAAUAGACGCGAAGCGGGAUGAUCUACCCUUGGCCAGGAUGAAGUCUGUGUAACAGCGGAUGGAGGUCCGAACCAGUGUUGGUUGAAAACAGCUUGGAUGAGCUGAGGGUAGGGGUGAAAGGCUAAUCAAAUUCCGUGAUAGCUCGUUCUCUCCGAAAUAGCUUUAGGGCUAGCCUCGUGUGGUCCGUCUCGGUGGUAGAGAUCUGAAUGAACUAGGGGCCUUCCCAGGUUACCGAAUUCAACCAAACUUCGAAUGCCGAGAACGUGUAGCAUGGGAGUCAGACAGUGGGGGCUAAGCUUCAUUGUCGAGAGGGAAACAGCCCAGACCAUCAACUAAGGUCCCCAAAUCUGUGCUAAGUGGGAAAGGAAGUCGAGACGCUCUGACAGCCAGGAGGUUGGCUUAGAAGCAGCCAUCCUUUAAAGAAAGCGUAAUAGCUCACUGGUCGAGCAGCUCGGUGCCGACAAUAUAACGGGGCUCAAGCACAGUACCGAAGUUAUGGAUCCGCCGCAAGGCGGAUGGUAGGAGAGCGUUCCGAACGCGAGUGAAGGUAGACGGAGACGACUACUGGACGGUUCGGAAGUGACUCUGCCAGCAUAAGUAGCGAUAAACCAGGUGAGAACCCUGGUCGCCGAAAGUCUAAGGUUUCCUGAGAAAGGUUAAUCCGCUCAGGGUUAGUCGGAUCCUAAGGCCAGGCCGAAGGGCGUAGCCGAUGGACACACGGUUAAUAUUCCGUGACUACCGAAACUCGAUCAAGACCGAUGGGGGGACGCGGCCCAAAAGCUCUGGUGCGCAAUGGUUUCAAUCCAGAGUCGAGGGAGAUCCGGAUAGGCAAAUCCGCCGGGUCGUCCGCCAGGAAAAGCCUCUAAGGAGAGUUAGGUAUCCGUACCACAAACCGACACAGGUGGACGAGAUGAGUAUUCUAAGGCGCUCGGGUGAUGGUUUGUUCAGGAACUAGGCACAUUAGCCCCGUAACUUCGGGAGAAGGGGUGCCCACGCAAGUGGGCCGCAGUGAAUAGUCUCAGGCGACUGUUUAACAAAAACACAGGUCUCUGCAAAGUCGUAAAACGACGUAUAGGGGCUGACGCCUGCCCGGUGCCGGAAGGUUAAAGGGAGAGGUUAGCCGCAAGGCGAAGCUUUGAACUGAAGCCCCGGUGAACGGCGGCCGUAACUAUAACGGUCCUAAGGUAGCGAAAUUCCUUGUCGGGUAAGUUCCGACCUGCACGAAUGGCGUAACGAUCUGAGAACUGUCUUAACAACCCGCCCGGCGAACUUGUGGUUCCGGUGAAGACGCCGGAUGCCCGCCACUAGACGGAAAGACCCCGUGCACCUUUACUAUACCCUUUCAUUGAACUAUGGGGCCAUCUGCGCAGGAUAGGUGGGAGGCUUUGAAUCCGGGUUUUCGGACUCGGAGGAGCCAACGGUGAGAUACCACCCUGAUGGUUCUGUGGUUCUAACCUACUCCCGUAAUCCGGGAGAGGGACAAUGGUAGGCGGGUAGUUUGACUGGGGCGGUCGCCUCCUAAACGGUAACGGAGGCGCUCGAAGCUUGGUUCAGGAGGUUUGGAAAUCCUCCUUCGAGUGCAAUGGCAUAAACCAGGUUAACUGCGAGACCUACAAGUCAAGCAGAUGCGAAAGCAGGCCUUAGUGAUCCGGUGGUUCUGUAUGGAAGGGCCAUCGCUCAACGGAUAAAAGGUACGCCGGGGAUAACAGGCUGAUCGGAGUCAAGAGUUCACAUCGACGCUCCGGUUUGGCACCUCGAUGUCGGUUCAUCGCAUCCUGGGGGUGUAGAAGCUCCCAAGGGUUAGGCUGUUCGCCUAUUAAAGCGGUACGUGAGCUGGGUUCAGAACGUCGCGAGACAGUUCGGUCCCUAUCUGUGGUGGGCGUAGGAGAUUUGAGGGGGCCUGCCCUUAGUACGAGAGGACCGGGGUGGACGAACCUCUUGUGAUCCAGUUGUCACACCAGUGGCACCGCUGGGUAGCGAAGUUCGGUCAGGAUAAGCGCUGAAUGCAUAUAAGCGCGAAACCUUCCCCAAGAUGAGGCUUCCCAACCGAAAGGUAACAAGGGCACAGGAAGACGACCUGUUUGAUAGGGCGGAUGUGUAAGCACAGCAAUGUGUUGAGCUAACCGCUACUAAUUGCCCGUUCGGCUUGACCAU